CAGGAAGUGGCCGGACGUAUACCCGAGCAUAGAUUGUGGCAUGCUGUCGUGCCUAACGUGUCCACUGGAGGGCGCACUGACAUGCUAUUCAUGGACACAUGGGUGCCCAAAGACCGGGAUUCUGUGCCCGCAGUGGGGGCGAACUGAUGUGGUUUCUGGUGUACAUAAGAGGUGCCCGCACGUUGUUUCUGAUGCACAUAGAGCGAUGCAACAAUAUGAUUCCUAUGCCAUGUUGUGCCUAAAGUGUCUACAGGAGGGCGCCCACAGACCUGGUUUCUGCGUGAACACGGGGUGAAUGGAUGGGGUUUCAAGUGCAGAUAAAAGGGUGCCGGAAUGUUUAUGAUACGCACAGGAAGUACCAAGACUAUAUGUGAUACACACAGGAAGUGGCCGGAGAUUAUUUACGAUGGACAAAGGAAGUGACCGGACGUUGUUUCUGGAGCACACAGGAAGUGCCUGGAUGUAUUUUUGUACAUAUAUAGGGGCACGCUAUGGACUUCCCUGGUGGCUCAGACGGUAGAGCGUCUAUCUACAAUGCGGGAGACCCGGGUUCGAUCCCUCGGUCGGGAACAUCCCCUGGAGAAGGAAAUGGCAAUCCACUCCAGUACUAUUUCCUGGAAAAAUCCCAUGGAUAGAGGAGCCUGGUAGGCUACAGUCCAUGGGGUCACAAAGAGUCGGACACGAUUGAGCGACUUCACUUCAGGGGCGCGCUGUUGUGCCUAGCGUGUACACAGAAGGGCGAAGGAACACGCUCUUGGCACACGCAUGGGUCCGCGUAGACCUGGUUUCUGUGGUCACAGUGGGGGAGAACGGAUGUGGUUUCUGGUCCACGUAAGGGAGCGUUCGCACGUUCCUGAUGCACAAAGGAAGUGCUCGGACGGUGUUUCUGCUGCACCGGAAGUGAUGCAACAAUCUGAUUCCGAGCGUAUAUACACUGGAAUGUAAUCGUGCCUAACCUGUCCACAGGAGGGUGCACCAACAUGAUCUUGGUGCACAAGUGAGUGUCCACACCUGGUUUCUGGGUCCAGAGUACGGGGAGAACCGAUGUGGAUCACCGGGUGGGUGCCGGGACCAUUAUUUUUGAUUCACAUAGGGAGUGCCCGGCCAGUUGUUUCUGAUACACACAGGAAGUGCCCUAACUUCCUACAUUCUUGCCUAUACAUAUAGUUUCGUGCAGUUGCGCCCAACAUGCCCGCAGGAGGGCGCGCUAACAUGCUGCUGGUGAGCACAUGAGUGCCAACAGACCUGAUGUCUGUGCCUACAGUGGAGGCGAACGGUUGUUGUUUCUGGUGCACACAAGGGCCGGGGUGCCCAGACGUAGUUUCUGAGGCACAUGGGAAAUGUCCGGAUGUAGUUUCUGGCGCACACACAGUUCAGUUCAGUUAGUCGCUCCUUCCUGUCCAACUCUUUGUGGACUGCAAGAUGCCAGGGAGGCCAGGCAUGCUGCAGUUCACGGGGUCACAAAGAGUCGGACACAACUGAGCGACUGAACUGAACUGAUGGGUUGAGGACUGUUUUCUGGUUUGCACAGGGUGGUGCCCAGAGGUAGCUUCUGCUGUACACAGUGGGUACAGGAACAUAGUUUCUGGUUUGUACAGUGCCGGGUGCCCAGACAUAGUUUCUGUAACACACAGGAAGUGCCCUGAUGGUUUGUGAAUAUGGAAGGGGCACGGAACAUCAUUGGUGGAGCACGUGCGGCGGUGGCAGGGUGGACCAAUCUGGUUCUGGCGCACAGCAGGGGCAUGCUGUGGUGCUUCACGCUGUGCAUAAGGUGUACG
ensembl:lncRNA